GCAAACUGCUCAGUAACACGUAGCUAACCUGCCCUUAGGCCAAGAAUAACCUCGGGAAACUGAGGCUAAUACUUGAUAAAAGACAUUCCCUGGAAAGACUUGUCUUUGAACUAAGGAGGGGGCUGCGGCGGAUUAGGUUGUUGGCGGGGUAAUAGCCCACCAAGCCGAAGAUCCGUAAGGGCUCUUAGCGGAGAAGCCCUGAGAGGGAAUCUGAGACACUAUUCCCAGCCCUACGGGGUGCAGCAGUUAGGAAUCUUCUGCAAUGCGCGCAAGCGUGACAGAGUGAGUCAAAGUGCCUGCCAUUAGGCAGGCUUUUGUGGAAUGUAAAAAGUUCUACGAAUAAGGACUGGGUAAGACUAGUGCCAGCCGCCGCGGUAAUACUAGCGGUCCAAGUCGCAGCCAUUCUUAUUGGGUCUAAAACAUCCGUAGCUUGCUUGAUAAGUUUUCUGUGAAAUCUCAUAUCUCAAGUAUAAGAAUUGUGGAAAAUACUGUCAAGCUAGAGACCGGGAGACGUAAAGAGUACGUCUAAAGUAGCGGUAAAAUGUGUUGAUCUUAGGCGGACUGACGAUAGCGAAGGCACUUUACGAGAACGGUUCUGACAGUUAGGGAUGAAGGCUACGGGCGCAAAACGG
rnacentral:rRNA from 1 species